GAAACUAGAGCCUCACAUGUGAGUUUAGAGUCGAGAACUUAAUGAAAUGAUUGUAUUUGAAUUUGACCCAAAAAGUUCUUUAAAAUGUGCUUCGGAAAUUAUCGGAAACUUGUUUAGCUACUUAUAAAAAGAUCCGUUUCGUUUUUCGAAAAUCCGACUUCAUAUUCUUGUUUAGGGGGUCAAAUUGAGUGGGAAAUGGGUCUAACCCAAAUUUUAGAGCAACC
rnacentral:lncRNA from 1 species